rnacentral:misc_RNA from 1 species
UUUCCGUAGGUGAACCUGCGGAAGAAUCAUUAUUGGAUUUUGAAACUUCAAGCUGCUGCUGGCUCUCCUCGGAGGGCAUGUGCACGCUUGUUGUCCAUUAUUUCUCCCACUGUGCACAAAUUGUAGACCUUUCAGUAGGCCUAUGUUGUUUUUCACAAUCUCUGAAUGUAAUAGAAUGGUUUUGAAUCUUGGGAAAUACAAUACAACUUUCAGCAACGGAUCUCUUGGCUCUC